CGCCGCGUGGAGGAUGAAGAUUUCGGAUCGUAAACUCCUGUCGAAUGGGACGAAUAGAUUGCGGGUUAACAGCCCGCGGUCCUGACGGUACCGUUAAAGGAAACCCCGGCUAACUCCGUGCCAGCAGCCGCGGUAAUACGGGGGGGGUAAGCGUUGUUCGGAAUUACUGGGCGUAAAGGGCUCGUAGGCGGCCAACUAAGUCAUGCGUGAAAUCCCUCAGCUUAACUGGGGAACUGCGUGUGAUACUGGAUGGCUUGGAUCGGGAGAGGGAUGCGGAAUUCCAGGUGUAGCGGUGAAAUGCGUAGAUAUCUGGAGGAACACCGGUGGCGAAGGCGGCAUCCUGGACCGAUAUUGACGCUGAGGAGCGAAAGCCAGGGGAGCAAACGGGAUUAGAUACCCCGGUAGUCCUGGCCCUAAACGAUGAAUGCUUGGUGUAGCGGGUAUCGAUCCCUGCUGUGCCGAAGCUAACGCAUUAAGCAUUCCGCCUGGGGAGUACGGUCGCAAGGCUG
rnacentral:rRNA from 1 species